UCCAUAGCAGCUCCACCCACCAACAACCCAGAUGCCCUCCAGCGGAUAAACGGGGAAACUAGCACACAGCGGAAUACCACUCAGCAAGGAAAACAGAAGGAGCUUCAGAUGCGAACCUCAGUGUGGACGAACCUCAAAGGCAUGCCAGUCAUGUGAAAGGCACUGUUCUAGCCGCUGCGAGACUCGGCGCAGAGCAAGAAGAAUGGAGUCUGCCAGCCCGGGACAUACAGCACAACAGAGAGAGAGGAAGAUAGUAUCACUUCCCUGCCCAGGACCACCUUUCCCUCUUCUGUGUUGCUAAUGAUGGCACCGAACACAGGAACACCAGCAGAUGCUGUGUAGCCCUUUGAAGAAAGAGCGAUCGAUUGAUGGCUCCAAGUGACGUUCAUCAAUUUCACAAGCCAUGUGAAAUUAAGCUGUGCCUUGUAAGGUGCUGGUGAUGAUGAGCUGAGAAUGAGUCUGGAAGGUUCAUCUCUCUCCAAUAAAAAAGGUUCAUCAUCUCUCUCCAACUUGUAUAAUAAUUGCUUUGGAACACUUUAGGUAGGAAAUUGAAAGAGAUUGGAGGAAAGGAAUGAUGAAAGAACCGAAGAGGAAUUGAUGAAAGAGCCAAUAAAGCUAAGAAAUGUUGGGAAAUGAAUUUUAAUGAACUGAACAACACCUUCAGCUAAUUCAACCAAUUCAACAAAGCCAUUAUAAUUGUAUAUAUGGUGCUUGUUUUGCCACAAAUCUACGUAGACUGAAAGAUACAUUAUGAAAUGCAAGAACCUCCUGUAUUCAGAAUCCGAACAAAUGCCUAGAUGUUUGAAAAGAUAAAAUGUGGAUAUUCUGUCUUAGAU